UCCAAAUAAAUACUUAGGAGAUAAAAACUAGUCUCCGCGUAGUGUCCCAGAAUUUUACUUAGCUAGAUAGUAGUAGUAGUAGCUAGUAGUAGCUUGUAGUAGGUUAGUUUCCGUGGAUUUUGGUACAAGCCGGGACUUAGUUGGAAACUCAUAGCAACAGUUAUGGAUUUUAUAAGUUUAACCUAUAGUUUAUAAAUAUUAAUUAUAACAUAAGGUUUGAUUAAUAUUGCUGGUCCUAUAAAUAUUAUUCAUUAUAACCUAAGGUUUAGAUAGAAUUAUUAAGCAUGUGACACUUGUCAUAAUCAUGUUUAUUAAGGAUUUAAGUAUUAUGUUGAAUAGUUUAAUUAAAACAAAGAUCUAGAAGCUCUAGAAUCUUCUAGCAGCUGUUAGGAUCACGCUUAGACUCAGUCAAAGUUGUUUAAUCAAUUCAAAAUAUGUUGAAUAAGUGUGUUUGAUAUAUCAACGUAUGACGAUAUAUCGCAACUUUAGGGGCCGAUAUAUCGCCUAUGGAAGAUACGAAAAACACGUCGUCUUUGCACGACCGAAACCACGAAGCAUUGGGAUCAUAGGGGAGGCGAUAUAUCGCCUAUAGGGGCGAUAUAUCGGCCCCACCCUUGCAUUUUUGAACUUCGUGGAAUCUGAGCUUAAAACAUCCCUUAACCUCUUGGACUUGCCUUUGAACGAUUUUGACCGAGUUCUGGGCAUAUGUUGAACGAAAAUUCAAAUCUUUUUCAUUUUGUAUUCAUUUAUAUAUUCAAAUUAAAAUGGGUUAGUUUCACUCCUUGAACUCUAUAAAUAGGACCUAGUACUUAGCCAUUUUCUUCAUUCUUCAAGCAUUUGUUCAGAGCCUCCAAGUUGCUAAGAUUACUAUAGAGAAAAACACUUGAGUUUUGGGUUAAAAAGCUUUAUCAUUCUAAGCUUUUCUAAACACGUGGGAAGUGAGAUAUAGUGAGAUUUCAGUAUCGAGGUUUUGAUCAAUUCAUAAGAUCAUUCAAGGUAUUCUUAUCCCUAAGUUCCAUUCUUUAGUUUUCUUUUAUUUUCUUUUCAGAUCCUAACUCUUGUUUAUAAUUCUUGGUUAGGUGUUUAAGUUUCUUGAAAACUUAAGGUUCUUCUCGGAGUGUUCCAAUCCCGUUCUUGUUCUCAAAUAUCCUGGAUUUUGCUUGAUGCAGGAAAAUGAAUAUGGAAGGCGGAAUGAUUCACGGCUGCUUGGCUUGUGUGUUAAGGAUGAAUGGAUUGAAUGGACUGUGUGUCGAUCGAGGAUGACGUUAUUUUUAAUUCUUUUAAAUUAUGUUUUGAUGUAAUUCCGCUAUUAGUAUUUUAAACAAUUAAAGUCUAUGUUUUAUGUUUUAUAACAAUGGGUACCCAUACCGUAUUUUACAUUUCAUAUUUUACUUUGUAUUUUGCACAAUAUUUGUUUUGGGGUAUUAAAUAAAGUUAUGUUAUUUCUUA